rnacentral:lncRNA from 1 species
GGCAGUAAUGAGGCUACAUAAAUGCACAUAUAAUACUGUAAGAUGUUACAAAUGAUAUAAAAGAUAAAUCUAAUGAUUACCUAUUAUAAUGACAGUGCAAUCACUAGGUAAAUUUUACAGUUCUGAGAAGUCCAUGACUGCCAAAAAUGCCACUAUGCAGUGUAUUAUUUCUGAGCUUUUAUUUCUCCAUGACUGUUUUGUAGGAGAUAUAUAACUCACUUGGAAGGGAGCUGCUAAACAAAAUGGCUCACAAAUCUUCAUUUAGGGCAGCAAUACUUACAAGUACUGUGGGAGCUGGACUGGCAAACACACAGAGCUCAUUGCUGAACUACAGGAGUUGGGUAAGUUCUGUUACCUUCAUUGGUCUUGUGUGGCUUUCAAAAUAUGGACUGAGUUGAUGGAGCAAGCAUCUGUGUAGUUGAUGUUACUAGAGGAGUUUGUUUAUUAUACUUUGCACUGAGGUUGUUCCUA